rnacentral:rRNA from 1 species
UACGAAGGGGGCUAGCGUUGCUCGGAAUCACUGGGCGUAAAGCGCACGUAGGCGGCUUUCUAAGUCAGGGGUGAAAUCCUGGAGCUCAACUCCAGAACUGCCUUUGAUACUGGGAAGCUCGAGUCCGGAAGAGGUGAGUGGAACUCCGAGUGUAGAGGUGAAAUGCGCAGAUAUCAGGAAGAACACCCGUGGCGAAGGCGGCUCUCUGGGACGGUACUGACGCUGAGACGCGAAAGCGUGGGGAGCGAACAGG